UGGGCCAGGAAGUCUGAGGAGUUAUGACUGCCUCUGAUGAUUUAUUAUAGGGCCGCGGUAUUUUGACCGUGCAAAGGUAGCAUAAUCAUUAGUCUUUUAAUUGAAGGCUGGUAUGAAUGGUUUGACGAGAUAUAAGCUGUCUCUAUAUAAUAAUGUAUAAUUUAACUUUUAAGUCAAAAGGCUUAAAUAAGUAUAAAAGACGAGAAGACCCUAUAGAGCUUUAUAUAUAAUUGUACUCAUAUUAUUUGGAGGUAUUUAAAAUGAGUAUGAAUUGUAUGUUUUGUUGGGGUGACAUGAAGAUAUAAUAAACUCUUUAUUAUUUAAACAUUGAUUUAUGAUUAAUUGAUCCAUUAUUAAUGAUUACAAGAUAAAGUUACCUUAGGGAUAACAGCGUAAUUUUUUUUGAGAGUUCUUAUCGACAAGAAAGAUUGCGACCUCGAUGUUGGAUUAAGGAAUAUGACUAGGUGUAGAAGUUUAGUUAAUAAGUCUGUUCGACUUUUAAAUCCUUACGUGAUCUGGUUCCAGACCGG
rnacentral:rRNA from 1 species